CGUCUAUAUACGUAUAGCAUAUCAAUAAGCGGAGGAAAAGAAACUAACUAGGAUUCCCUCAGUAACGGCGAGUGAAGCGGGAAGAGCUCAAAUUUGAAAUCUUCAAGGUUUUACCUUGACGAAUUGUAGUUUAAAGAAGUGUUUUCUGUUGGAAGUUUUGGUAUAAGUUCUUCGGAAUAGGACAUCAUAGGAGGGUGAGAAUCCCGUAAUUGACCAUUAUUUCCAGCUUUGUGAUACACUUUCAAAGAGUCGGAUUGUUUGGGAAUGCAGUCCAAAAUGGGUGGUAAAUUUCAUCUAAAGCUAAAUAUUGGCGAGAGACCGAUAGCGAACAAGUACCGUGAGGGAAAGAUGAAAAGAACUUUGAAAAGAGAGUUAAACAGUACGUGAAAUUGUCAAAAGGGAAGCGUUUGACACCAGUGUUGUUUUCUCGAAAAUCAAUUAAAAAAGACCUGGAUUUUGUGUUGUAUUGACUUUAUCAGCUUUCUGCACUCUUUUCUUGUCUUUUUUAAUGCACUUUUCGUUUAACAAGUCAACAUCAAUUUCUUUUGUUGUAAAAGGGUCAUUGGAAGGUGGCUUUCUUUUCGGAGAAAGUGUUUAUAGCCUUUGGCCUCUGCAAUCGGAGAGAUUGAGGUCUGCAGCGUAGAUCCUUCGGGGUUAGAUAGCAUUUAGUGCUAAGUUAUAGCCUUUCAUAGACAACUUGUUGACUAUGAUCAGUCAUGUAGCUUACUCGCUUAUGCUAUUUUACCUACGCUUAGGAUGUUGAAGUCAUCGUAUCGCGC
rnacentral:rRNA from 1 species